GGUUUUAUAUUCAAGUAUGAUUUUAAAUUGCAAAUUUAAAGGUGAAGAUAAAUCUUUUAAAGCCU
rnacentral:tRNA from 1 species